ACAUGAACUCUUGCAGCCGUUAUACUAUUUAAAAAAAUAAAUAAAAUUGAGUCGAAGAGGGCAAACAGGCAGUUGCCUGGGCAACCUUAGCCCCCUCCUGUGCACGUCCCUGAAUCAGUCUACAGAGCUGUUUAUGUCUAAGUCUCUUUAAGACUAUGCCAUGGGAAAGAGGUAUAUUAGCACUGACUGAAAGAGGUAUAUUAGCCCUGACUGAAUGAAAGAGGUAUAUUAGCACUGACUGAAUGAAAGAGGUAUAUUAGCACUGACUGAAUGAAAGAGGUGUAUUAGCACUGACUGAAAGAGGUAUAUUAGCCCUGACUGAAUGAAAGAGGUAUAUUAGCACUGACUGAAUGAAAGAGGUAUAUUAGCACUGACUGAAAGAGGUAUAUUAGCACUGACUGAAUGAAAGAGGUAUAUUAGCACUGACUGAAUGAAAGAGGUAUAUUAGCCCUGACUAAA